UCAUAAUGUCGUAAUGAAAAUUUAAAAAAAUAGUGAAUUUGGUCAAUUUGCCAUGCGGAUAUCAACGCCAAGCGGAUUAGUUCCGUAAAGGACUCGAGAAAAUUUAGUCUGCUUUCGCCAUCAAAAUAUUAUUGCAAAAAUACUGAGAGGUUCGUGGUGGAGCAUCGUGUAAAACCCUUUUCAAGUGUCUUUUCAUCAAGCAACUGUGCAUAGGCUUUGGCAAAGUAAUGAGAAUUAGAAUAAUACAAAGAGUCUAAUAUAUUGUGCAGAUAUCAGAGAACCACAUAUGAAGUGAACAUUGUUCAAGGAUGCAUAGCAGAUUCGGACUGCAAAAUUUGGACUUCGAUCAUCCUUUGAAAAUGGAAAACACCACUGUUUUGGUACUGUGUUGCUCCCCCACUCCUUCCCAGAUGUUGGAACCUUUUUAUUUAUGAUCGGUAUCUCAAUUCAGAUACACUUGAAUUGAAAUUCAGAAUGCGUGUACGUUCGAUUAAUUAUUUGACGCUGUCGCCUUCACGGGAUCAUGAAUAUCUUGGUUGAUUUGAAGACAGCAGCUCAACAGUUGAGGAGCUAUUGAUUACUUCCGUAAUGUCUCUUUUACAUCGUUUGAGACUUAUUAAUAGUCGGAUGACGUUGAGCUGUCUGAAAGUAUGGUCCAUCCGUUUCUUCCUGAGGGUUUUUUCUAUCCAAUGCGGCUGGUUUAUUAGUUAGCCGCACGACAUCUGAUCGCAGCAUAAAUAAAGAACUUUCACGGCCGGUAACUUUCGCCUGAGUAUACUCAAGGUAUACUGCAGCUGUCAGAAGUAUUACAUGAAGUAGUCUGUAUUACUUCAUACGUUAGCUUCAGGUACGUUUACUUUGCACUCUAAACAUAUUUAUCGCAUUUCCUGUAAGAUAAUUUGGAUGGUAACUGUCAACAACAAAGUUCACUUGUCAGAUUUUUUAAAGUUUGCUUUAAAAAUGUUUAAUUGUUAAAAGUGUUAAAUUUUAAAAGCUGUCUGACAGCCCUAUUUUCGAAUUGAAGGGUUGUUUUAGAAAAAAUGUAUUAAACUUUUUCUUAAACAACCCUCGAAAAUAUGAUGUAUUUUAUUCAGACUUUUUUAGGUGAUGUGCUGUCUUUAUUUUCAUUUUUUAUUUUAUGAAAAAGAAAUGGGCAAUUAGUUUAUGAUAAAUUAACAAAUUUCAAUGAUGGUCUAGUACAGCACAUAUACUCGUCGAAUAGAUUACACCAUUCAAACCGAUAGCUUGCGUUACGAAAAUAGAUUGCACCUAUAGGUAGAUCUUAGAUUUUAGAGCAACAAACUAUAUCUGAGAAUCACAGUCACCUUCUGAAUGCUUGAAAUUAUUAACGCUUCUACGCUGCCUGGUGCCGCGUCCUCAAAAACCGAACAACGGGGUAUCCGGCAGGUUCGUGUUGGGUUACUACUGAGGCUUUUUUUCUAAAAACACCCUACACCUGGCAGGUAUCUGUUUUCCAAAUAAACAUCGCAACGAAAAAGUGACAUAGAACGGACACUGCAUCCGGCUCUCAUGCAGGAUAUGGCGUGUCAACAUUUUUUCUCGAUGCAUUCAACUGUUAUAAUCAACAGGUUUUUAUUGGACUUACGUCAACAAAUGAUGGAUUCACCAUUAUGACGGUCCUGUCGCAGUUGACUAUCCACAUCUACAGAAUCCACAACGCUAAAAGAUGAAGUUACUUUCGUCCUAGUCUGCUGCGAAGUGAAAAGCCUGGAACCAAGGGAACAGUUAAACCUGGAAUAAAGGGACAGAGAAGCCUGGAACCAAGGGAGCAGAGAAACCGCCAAAUUGAAAAUGCCGUAGCCGAUCCAAGAUCGACCUGACAUGGAAUGUCUAUGAUUAACAAACACGUCACUUUAGCACCGUUGUCUACAUUAAGAAAGAAUCAUAACCAAGAGACGUACAGAAUCUGGUUGAUAACUUAAACUUACAUUGUUGUUAGUUGGUGUCAAUGAGUAAUGAAGAUAAAUAAAAAGCUGUUGAAGUUGCUGUA